CCCUUAGAUGUUCUGGGCCGCACGCGCGCUACACUGAUGCAUUCAACAAGCCUAGCCUUGACCGAGAGGUCCGGGUAAUCUUUGAAACUGCAUCGUGAUGGGGCUAGAUUAUUGCAAUUAUUAAUCUUCAACGAGGAAUGCCUAGUAAGCGUGAUUCAUAAAAUCGCGUUGAUUACGUCCCUGCCCUUUGUACACACCGCCCGUCGCUCCUACCGAUUGAAUGUGUUGGUGAGGAGCUCGGAUUGGCAGCAGUUGGUGGUUCGCCACCGGCUAUUGCUGAGAAGUCCUCCAAACCGCCCCAUUUAGAGGAAGGAGAAGUCGUAACA
rnacentral:rRNA from 1 species